GAUGAACGCUGGCGGCGUGCCUAAUACAUGCAAGUCGAGCGAACGGACGAGGAGCUUGCUUCUCUGAUGUUAGCGGCGGACGGGUGAGUAACACGUGGAUAACCUACCUAUAAGACGGGGAUAACUUCGGGAAACCGGAGCUAAUACCGGAUAAUAUUUUGAACCGCAUGGUUCAAAAGUGAAAGACGGUCUUGCUGUCACUUAUAGAUGGAUCCGCGCUGCAUUAGCUAGUUGGUAAGGUAACGGCAUACCAAGGCAACGAUGCAUAGCCGACCUGAGAGGGUGAUCGGCCACACUGGAACUGAGACACGGUCCAGACUCCUACGGGAGGCAGCAGUAGGGAAUCUUCCGCAAUGGGCGAAAGCCUGACGGAGCAACGCCGCGUGAGUGAUGAAGGUCUUCGGAUCGUAAAACUCUGUUAUUAGGGAAGAACAUAUGUGUAAGUAACUGUGCACAUCUUGACGGUACCUAAUCAGAAAGCCACGGCUAACUACGUG
rnacentral:rRNA from 1 species